UGCUCUCUGAGCUUGGUUGUUUGCUUGCAGACAUUUCAUCACCCAGCUAGAUAACAUUACCAGUUAUUAGAAGCGAGUGGAGA